rnacentral:rRNA from 1 species
AUGAACGCUGGCGGCGUGCCUAAUCCAUGCAAGUCGAGCGAACGGACGAGAAGCUUGCUUUUCUGAUGUUAGCGGCGGACGGGUGAGUAACACGUGGAUAACCUACCUAUAAGACUGGGAUAACUUCGGGAAACCGGAGCUAAUAUCGGAUAAUAUUUUGAACCGCAUGGUUCAAAAGUGAAAGACGGUCUUGCUGUCACUUAUAGAUGGAUCCGCGCUGCAUUAGCUAGUUGGUAAGGUAACGGCUUACCAAGGCAACGAUGCAUAGCCGACCUGAGAGGGUGAUCGGCCACACUGGAACUGAGACACGGUCCAGACUCCUACGGGAGGCAGCAGUAGGGAAUCUUCCGCAAUGGGCGAAAGCCUGACGGAGCAACGCCGCGUGAGUGAUGAAGGUCUUCGGAUCGUAAAACUCUGUUAUUAGGGAAGAACAUAUGUGUAAGUAACUGUGCACAUCUUGACGGUACCUAAUCAGAAAGCCACGGCUAACUACGUG